AUAUUUGUUAUAAGUGCACAGUGCUAUCACGAUGACACCUUGUGGUCGUUACAAUUUGUGUUUUGUGUUUGUCUUUUAGGUGUAAAAUCAUCCGCUCCCAGAUCGUUCUUCUGGUUCAGGAAAUAAGUGGAUGUUCCUGAUAUGUACAUAAAAAUAAAAGACUCAAUUAGUUGUAGGGGAAAUGAAUACCAGUGAGAUUAAUUAGCGGGGAAUUUUUACCAGAUGUCAUGUCACGCGUUCUGUUGGUCCACGUACAGUCAGAUGGCGCUAGAGUGUAGUAUGUACGGAAUAUUAGGGGGACAAACAAACGUCCUCCGUUGCGCCAUCAUUCACUCGCAUCAUGGAGGUCAUGAUGGGGCUGGAAAUAGCGGAUUCGUGGCGAAUUCCAAUAUCUGGACUCUGGUCCUGGCUCUGGCGGUAGCGCUAUGCUCUCGUUCCGCCUAGCACUGCUGCCAGACUGUCUCUGUGUGUUCAUGUCUUCUGCCAAGUGAUCAAUGCAACUGUCAAGUGUCAAACGUCAC